rnacentral:rRNA from 1 species
UGGUGGAGUGAUUUGUCUGCUUAAUUGCGAUAACGAACGAGACCUUAACCUGCUAAAUAGCCCCUAUUGCUUUGGCAGUAGGCUGGCUUCUUAGAGGGACUAUCCGCUCAAGCGGAUGGAAGUUUGAGGCAAUAACA